AGUGAACGCUGGCGGUAGGCCUAACACAUGCAAGUCGAACGGCAGCACAGUAAGAGCUUGCUCUUACGGGUGGCGAGUGGCGGACGGGUGAGGAAUACAUCGGAAUCUACUUUUUCGUGGGGGAUAACGUAGGGAAACUUACGCUAAUACCGCAUACGACCUACGGGUGAAAGCAGGGGAUCUUCUGACCUUGCGCGAUUGAAUGAGCCGAUGUCGGAUUAGCUAGUUGGCGGGGUAAAGGCCCACCAAGGCGACGAUCCGUAACUGGUCUGAGAGGAUGAUCAGCCACACUGGAACUGAGCCACGGUCCAGACUCCUACGGGAGGCAGCAGUGGGGAAUAUUGGACAAUGGGCGCAAGCCUGAUCCAGCCAUACCGCGUGGGUGAAGAAGGCCUUCGGGUUGUAAAGCCCUUUUGUUGGGAAAGAAAAGCAGCAGGUUAAUACCCCGCUGUUCUGACGGUACCCAAAGAAUAAGCACCGGCUAACUUCGUG
rnacentral:rRNA from 1 species